UACAGAGGGUGCUAGCGUUGUUCGGAAUUAUUGGGCGUAAAGGGCGCGUAGGCGGCCCUGUGUGUCGGGUGUGAAAGCCCACCUCUUAAAGGUGGAAUUGCAUUCGAAACUACAGGGCUGGAGUGUCGGAGAGGAUGGCGGAAUUCCUGGUGUAGAGGUGAAAUUCGUAGAUAUCAGGAGGAACACCGGUGGCGAAGGCGGCCAUCUGGACGACAACUGACGCUGAGGCGCGAAAAGCGUGGGGGAUCAAACAGGG
rnacentral:rRNA from 1 species